CGGGCGGAGGGGGCUGGGACCACGCGCUGUCGGCGGAGGGAUCCCCCGACCCUUCCCCCCAUAUAAAGAGAUACAAUGUUUCCUUUUAUGGCGAGGCCGCUCCUUAUAUGGUGAGCCCCAGCGCCCCCGCCCUAUUGGUCGGCGGUUCCGGCACCUCCGUCUCCCAUUGGCCCGCCUUAGGGGGGGGCCGUUCAUUUGCAUUGGCAUACCAGGCCAGCUGCUGUCAUUCUAGCGUCAGGCCGAGGCGCGGAGUCCGGAGGGUCCGGCGUCUCUUAAAGAGACAGGAGUUUGGAGCGAGUACGGUCUCCGCCCCCUCCGCACGAAAGAGCCCUGCAUUUGAGAUUCAGAAAACCUUAAGUCACAGCCUCUGAACACCAGCUUCCUGAUGUGUAAUAUGAGGAUAAUGAAGCAAAACCUAACAGGAUUCUUUAAAGCUUGUAUAAAUGUUACAGUGAGGUUUUCCAACAGACAUCAGCAGACCCAAGCAUGGGGUACAGGAUCACAGAACUGAAGCUAGAAGGGACCUCAGAGGCCAUCUGAUUUCCAUCUGUCCCUUUCCCAUUUUACAGAUGAAGAAAUGAGACCCAGAGGUGUUAAAUGAAUUUGCCCAAGGUGGUCACAAAAGGUAUAUCAUGGUAAAUUUGAACUCAGGUUCUCUGAUACCUGCA